rnacentral:tRNA from 1 species
GGGGAUUUGGCUCAGUGGUAGAGCACUUGCCUAGCAAGCGCAAGGCCCUGGGUUGACUGCUCUUCCAGAGGUCCUGAGUUCAAAUCCCAGCAACCACA